rnacentral:ribozyme from 1 species
UGCCCAGCAACUCCUAUCCCAACCUGCGCGUGGUACCGACUGGAAUCUGCUGAAUCCUGAGAGGAUUCUUUGCAGAAUUCGGAGAGG